GACGAACGCUGGCGGCGUGCCUAAUACAUGCAAGUCGAGCGAAGUUUUUCUGGUGCUUGCACCGGAAAAACUUAGCGGCGAACGGGUGAGUAGCACGUAAAGAACCUGCCUUAUAGACUGGGACAACUAUUGGAAACGAUAGCUAAUACCGGAUAACAGCAUUAACUGCAUGGUUGAUGUUUGAAAGUUGGUUUUGCUAACACUAUGAGAUGGCUUUGCGGUGCAUUAGCUAGUUGGUGGGGUAAAGGCCUACCAAGGCGACGAUGCAUAGCCGACCUGAGAGGGUGAUCGGCCACACUGGGACUGAGACACGGCCCAGACUCCUACGGGAGGCAGCAGUAGGGAAUCUUCCGCAAUGGGCGAAAGCCUGACGGAGCAACGCCGCGUGAGUGAAGAAGGAUUUCGGUUCGUAAAGCUCUGUUGUUAGGGAAGAAUGAUUGUGUAGUAACUAUACACAGUAGAGACGGUACCUAACCAGAAAGCCACGGCUAACUACGUG
rnacentral:rRNA from 1 species